CCUACGGGAGCCAGCAGUGGGGAAUUUUGGACAAUGGGCGCAAGCCUGAUCCAGCAAUGCCGCGUGAGUGAAGAAGGCCUUCGGGUUGUAAAGCUCUUUUGUCAGGGAAGAAACGGUGGGAGCUAAUAUCUCCUACUAAUGACGGUACCUGAAGAAUAAGCACCGGCUAACUACGUGCCAGCAGCCGCGGUAAUACGUAGGGUGCAAGCGUUAAUCGGAAUUACUGGGCGUAAAGCGUGCGCAGGCGGUUUUGUAAGUCUGUCGUGAAAGCCCCGGGCUCAACCUGGGAAUUGCGAUGGAGACUGCAAGGCUUGAAUCUGGCAGAGGGGGGUAGAAUUCCACGUGUAGCAGUGAAAUGCGUAGAGAUGUGGAGGAACACCGAUGGCGAAGGCAGCCCCCUGGGUCAAGAUUGACGCUCAUGCACGAAAGCGUGGGGAGCAAACAGGAUUAGAUACCCUGGUAGUCCACGACCUAACCGACUAGUCUACUAGUUGUUCGGUUUAACGUUUAACGUUAGGUUAACGUACAGCUAACGCGUGAAGUAGACCGCCGUCGGGAGGUACGGUCGCGAGAAGUAAACGUAACAAUAGAAGUUAGUACGGCGUGAGACGUAGCCGACGGACGACGACGAGGGAGGAGGG
rnacentral:rRNA from 1 species